rnacentral:rRNA from 1 species
AUUGAACGCUGGCGGCAGGCCUAACACAUGCAAGUGGAGCGGAUGACGGGAGCUUGCUCCUGGAUUCAGCGGCGGACGGGUGAGUAAUGCCUAGGAAUCUGCCUGGUAGUGGGGGACAACGUUUCGAAAGGAACGCUAAUACCGCAUACGUCCUACGGGAGAAAGCAGGGGACCUUCGGGCCUUGCGCUAUCAGAUGAGCCUAGGUCGGAUUAGCUAGUUGGUGAGGUAAUGGCUCACCAAGGCGACGAUCCGUAACUGGUCUGAGAGGACGAUCAGGCACACUGGAACUGAGACACGGUCCAGACUCCGACGGGCGGCAGCAGUGGGGAAUAUUGGACAAUGGCCGAAAGCCUGAUCCAGCCAUGCCGCGUGUGUGAAGAAGGUCUUCGGAUUGUAAAGCACUUUAAGUUGGGAGGAAGGGCAGUAAGCGAAUACCUUGCUGUUUUGACGUUACCGACAGAAUAAGCACCGGCUAACUCUGUGCCAGCCGCCGCGGUAAAAC